rnacentral:rRNA from 1 species
GGAAGUGAACCAUCUCAGUACCCACAGGAACAGAAAACAAACCAGUGAUUCCGCCAGUAGCGGCGAGCGAACGCGGAACAGCCCUAACCAGCGAGCAUGCUCGCUGGGGUUGUAGGGCCUGUUGGGCCGCAAGGCCGCCGAGUCACAAACCGGAUUGCUAGUCGAACCGUCUGGAACGACGGACCAGAGAAGGUGACAGUCCUGUAGACGAAAGCAACCCGGCUCGGUGGACAGGUUCCUGAGUACCGCGGGACACGUGGAAUCCCGUGGGAAGCUGCCAGGACCAUCUUGGCAAGGCUAAAUACUCGUUGGCGACCGAUAGUGAACCAAUACCGUGAGGGAAAGGUGAAAAGCACCCCUGUGAGGGGAGUGAAAGAGUACCUGCAACCGUAUGCCUACAAGCAGUGGGAGGGCUAUGCUGACGGAGCAAUCCGUCGGAAGGCCUGACCGCGUGCCUUUUGCAUAAUGAGCCGGCUAGUUAAGGGCG